UAUUAGCACCUGAGCUAACUAGUUAACUGUUGCCUGAAAAUUAGCAGAGGUAUAUGCAGUGCCAAACCAAAGAAGUAAACCAGAAGUAAUAACCAAAGAGAAAGUAGUUUUCUUGCUGGUUAUUUUAAACUGUACUUGAGUAAUUUCCAAAUAAGUCAUGUCUGAAAGAAAUCAGAGCUCAUUGAUAAAGCCUUGCGAGUCAGUGCAGCAUGCUCAGAAGAGGUCAGUCCUGCAUGCUCAGAAGAGGUCAGUCCUGCGGCAGAAACUGUGACGUUUGGGAAGAUGAUGGAUGAUCCCUCAGCAGUGUGAAGAGCUUUUGUGUCAGUGUGCAGUUCACAUGUCGGGGAGACUGACAAGAGGCAGGACGGUGAGUCACUCAUGACAGCAUCACAUCAGUGACCUGCACUGCAGCUCUUUAAGUGUGAACUUCACCAGCUGGCUGCCUGCAGCACAGAAGAGAUGUGUCAUUCUGCUGUGCUUUGUCAAGGUACUGAUGGAACCUUUUAAGAGCGAAACUGCGGCCCAGUGAAAACACAAAGCUUGUGGUUGAUGUCAUUUUACAGCUGUUUGCUCAAUUUUGGCCUGCAAGGGCUCAAUCCAUUUGCCCUCAGAUUAAAACUGCUCCUACAGUGAAUGCAUGGGUUUUCACUGUGGUGCCAGAUGCCAAGUGACCUUGCAUGAGUGCUGUUUCAAAAGAUUUGGCCUCACUCAUCACAUUGUUAGGUCAUAGUAGUGAUCUCUCCCCUUGUUGCUAUUCGUCUAUCAGUUGCCCUCUGACUCAUGGCCAAUUUUCCCUCUCUGGUAUCUCAAUAAUAAACAGAAAGCUUUCACA